GUGAGGAAUAUUGGACAAUGGGGGAAACCCUGAUCCAGCCAUGCCGCGUGAGUGAUGAAGGCCUUCGGGUUGUAAAGCUCUUUCGUGGGGGAAGAUAAUGACUGUACCCCAAGAAGAAGCCCCGGCUAACUCCGUGCCAGCAGCCGCGGUAAUACGGAGGGGGCUAGCGUUGUUCGGAAUUACUGGGCGUAAAGCGCACGUAGGCGGACUGGAAAGUCAGGGGUGAAAUCCCGGGGCUCAACCCCGGAACUGCCUUUGAAACUCCCAGUCUUGAGUUCGAGAGAGGUGAGUGGAAUUCCGAGUGUAGAGGUGAAAUUCGUAGAUAUUCGGAGGAACACCAGUGGCGAAGGCGGCUCACUGGCUCGAUACUGACGCUGAGGUGCGAAAGCGUGGGGAGCAAACAGGAUUAGAUACCCUAGUAGUCC
rnacentral:rRNA from 1 species